rnacentral:rRNA from 1 species
CCUACGGGGGGCAGCAGUGGGGAAUAUUGCGCAAUGGGCGAAAGCCUGACGCAGCGACGCCGCGUGAGGGAUGAAGGUCUUCGGAUCGUAAACCUCUGUCAGCAGGGAAGAAUGGUCACUGUGCUAAUCAGCAGUGAAUUGACGGUACCUGCAAAGGAAGCACCGGCUAACUCCGUGCCAGCAGCCGCGGUAAUACGGAGGGUGCGAGCGUUAAUCGGAAUUACUGGUCGUAAAGCGCUCGUAGGCGGUAUGUCAAGUCAAGGGUGAAAUCCCCGCGCUCAACGUGGGAACUGCCUUUGAAACUGGCAGACUGGAGUGUGUGAGAGGAGAGUGGAAUUCCAGGUGUAGGAGUGAAAUCCGUAGAUAUCUGGAGGAACAUCAGUGGCGAAGGCGACUAUCUGGCACAUAACUGACGCUGAGGAGCGAAAGCGUGGGUAGCAAACAGGAUUAGAUACCCUGGUAGUC